rnacentral:rRNA from 1 species
AUGGGUUUGCCUCAAGUUCCUGCAAUUAAGGAGGAGGAGCCUCCUAAGCUAAGUACAUGUGUAGUUAGUCCUCCUUGUUUUGGUGGUAGUGAUAAUAGUGAUUUGGGCAGGCUUCCCACCGGAGGCUCAAGUAACAGGGCAUUUCCAUACCCAUCCAUCAGCGAUCUGAAGAGAAAAGCUGCAUUAGAUUCUUUGAUUGGAUUUGAUGGAAAUUUUGGAGCCAGCCAUGCUGUCGAUGGGCCUGCUGGCUCCCAAGGCUUAAAACCUGAUCCGAGGAAUCCAAGUUUUAGAUCAUGCCCUAAGUUGCGACCUGUUCAGAUGCCUGCGAGGAGGGUUAUUGGGUUUGAAUCAGGUUUUGCUGGUUUCAAGGGAGAUUCUGAUACAAUGGUAGCUGACAAAAUGAAUUCAUCUUUAGUCAUCAACACUUGCCAUUCAUCUAUUGAACAGCAUGGGCCUCAAGCAAGGAAAAGGGUGUUAUCGCCUUUAACUAAUGAGCUCCAUGGACACUUCAGCGGCGAUGCGCUAAAUAUUGGUUCUGCUGAUGCCAAAAUGCAGCAUUCUGAUCAAGUUAGGCAACUUUGCACCUCUGGAUUUCAAGAUUGUAAAAAAGCCCACACUGCGUCUCUUGAUUCAUUUGAAUCACCUACUUGGCCAGCCUUCAGACACUCCAGUUGGAGCAAAACACAGGUAGUUGAUAAGUUUAGCAGUAAUAUAUUCACCGACGGUCCUUUGCUUGAGGGCAGGGAGUCAUAUUCUUGUUCAGAUCACCUAGAGGCCGAAAGGAUUGUAAAUCUCAAAAGGGUUGCGGUAGCUGUCCCACUACCAAAAUUAGCACAUUCCCCUCCACUCAGCUUGUCCCCUCUCGGCCCAAAAUGGAUGCAGAGAGGGAAGAAUGUGGGGGCUCAGAGAGAUUUAGCCAGAGAAUUUGAAAAUGAUUUUCUUGACUUGAAGGAAACAGAAAUAUCAAUACGUGAAGAUCGUUCUGAACAUGGCGAUAGAAUCAGGGCAAGGGAUGCAGCAGGAAAAACUACUAUCUUGCAUGUUAACUUUGAUGCGAUGACCCCUAAGAGGUGUUCAGAUAGAAGACUCCAAAAUUGGGUCCCAGAAUCUGUGCCUGUAUCCCCACGCAUUGGAUGCCUUCGGGGUUUAAGCCUCUUUCCUGUAAGAAGGUCACUAGUUGGCUCCUUCGAGGAGUCCCUUUUAUCUGGUCGCUAUUCGUGUGGAAAAGAUAAGCAGAAUAUUGAUGGCUUUCUGGCUGUCCUGAAUGUGACCGGCGGCAACUUCUCUCCCCCAACUCAGAAGCUUCCAUUUGCAGUAACCAGCAUUGAUGAGGAUAGCUCCCUGAUGUACUAUUCGUCGAUUGAUCUUGCUGGGAGGUUGCCUACUAACAACAGCAAAAGCCCAAAACUUAAAAGAAGCUCCAACAAUAAUGAUUCAAGAUCAUCGAGAAGUCGCUUACACAUCCCAAUUAAAGGGCGCAUUCAGCUGGUGGUCAGUAACCCAGAGAAGACACCGCUGCACACCUUCUUUUGCAACUAUGAUUUGAGUGGCAUGCCUGCUGGAACCAAGACUUUCGUGCGGCAAAAGGUCACUCUAUCAUCUGUUCCUCCUUCUAAUCCAGUGAAAGAAGGAAGCGAUGCCAGUCACACAAAGGUCGAGUCAGUCCAAUAUGGAAGUGAACUUAGAGAAUGCGGCACUCUGUUUUCUGAAUGCUGUGAACAGGGGCAGAACUGCUACUUGACUGAUGAAUCAGAGAAGGGAGGUCACACCAACAGAACAUGUUGCUCAAUGGAAUGUGACAUUAGCGAAUCAAAUGAAUCGAGUCCCAUUGGGAGCUCAGAAAGUCGGACUAAUGCCAAUGGUGGUUGCUUCUGUCAAAUAGACAGUGAAAAGAAGUCUUGCUGCAGACCUUCCAAAGUGAAUGAUAGUUCAGCUGGAGGCGUUCUUCGUUAUGCUUUGCACCUGCGUUUUCUGAGCCCCUUUUCCAAGAAAUCAUCAAGAUCGAUGCAGCGGAUCGAACCUGGCAUGUCACCAGAACCAUUCAAUCGGAGUACUGUUAUCGAGGAAGAGAGGCGAUUUUAUCUCUACAAUGAUAUUAGAGUUGUCUUUCCUCAAAGGCACUCAGAUUCAGACGAAGGCGAGCUCCGGGUUGAGCAUGACUUCCCAGCUGAUCCCAAGUACUUCGACAUAAGCAACUGA